ensembl:ncRNA asRNA:CR45629 antisense RNA:CR45629
UAUUUCACAUCAAAAGUACAUGUAGUGGUAUCCUUUCUCGUGGCAUCCAUCUACUUCUGCUUCAACCAUCCACCAUAGGACUGCACCAGUGGAGCAUCGUAGAUGGGGGCCUGUCCAACGCGCACCACCGAGGGCACCACUGGAACGGACUCGACCACAUUGACACGGCGAACCACCGGCACACGGCGGACCACAGGCACACUGCGCACCACCGGAACGGAGCGAAUAACGGGCACGGAACGGACCACCGGAACGGAGGACACCGGCGAGUAGAUGACACUGCACUGGGCGAGGGCCAUGCAGGCGGCGAUCAGGAAGGCGGCGAUGAAGAACUUGUAUAAUUUAUUUAUUGCAACAUUAAAAUGUAAACAAUUUAGGUGAUUUUCAAAUUAAAAGCCAUUUUUAUGGGCAACACAUUAAAAAAAUUUCAGACUGCAGACGAUAAAAAAAACCAGAACACAAUUAAGAUCACUUUUUCUUCACAAAUUUUGCUGAUGCACACUGUUUUUUUUUUUUAUUAUUACUGUUUUUAUAAUUCAACAUUCUACUUAUUUUCACAUAAAAAAAAAAACUUGAAACCUUGAACUUGUAUUUGUAUUUGUUUCGUUAUCGUACAUUCACAAUUUGGUCAGCUAUCCUUUGUUUCGUAUCCUUGCGACCUUCAACUCACCUUCAUGUUUCCAAACUUUGUUCUUUUUGAGUAAGUUGUGCUUGGAGGACUGGACAAUUUGUGCUGAUCUGUCGCCGGUUACGAUGAUCUUAUAUACCCGUAGUGUCAAGAAUCUGAAAAGUGGAGCAAUAAAACUGGCCAAAAAGAACGUAUACGGAUGCAAAUUUUGUGCGGGGUUCGUUUAAUUGUUUAGAUAUUGAUUUUGGGAUGCCAUUAUCAUUGAUAUUUGCC